rnacentral:rRNA from 1 species
GCCGUCACACGCACCGAGCUGUCUCCCCGGAGUGUUAUUUUAUCUCCCUCGCAAAAAAAAAGGAGUGUUAUUUUAUCCAGGUCAAAUUCUUGCUGUACAGCAUCUCGUAAAAGGAAAAUAAUUACCACCAUACAUACGUUGGGAGAGCCAGAGGUCAACUUGGCCCCUCCUGCUUCGCCCAGACGGCACAAAACUGAUGCACCCGCAGACGACGAGGACACCCAGUGUGUGUGUCACGGCACGUCGGACCGCAUCGCACACGUCACCGCCGAACCAAUUUCCGUAUAAAUGCGGUAGCUACAGAGUAGUACAAGUCGGCCCACAUCGUAUCAGUCCCAGCUAUCGCACACACUGCAUCGGCCAGCUCAGGAUCGGGCAAGAAGAGAAGACGACAUUUAUUUUCUUCCCCCGCGGGAGAUCGAUCACAGCCGGGCAGCCAUGGGCGAGGAGGCUCCGGUCGCGGUCACCGCGGCGGCGACGACGUCGCCGGCGCCCCACCUGCUCCUCAUAUGCUUCCCGGGCCAGGGCCACGUCAACCCCAUGCUCCGCCUCGCCAAGCGCUUCGCGGCCAAGGGCCUCCUCGUCACCUUCUCCUCCACCUCCUACGUUGGAGGCAAGAUCACGGCCUCCUCCGGGGUGGAGGCCGGCGGCGACGGCGUGCCGCUCGGCCGCGGAAGGAUCCGGUUCGAGUUCUUGGACGACGAUUUCGACGGGAAUGACCUCGACGACCUGAUGAGGCACCUGGAGACGACCGGCCCCGUGGUGUUCGCGGAGCUGCUGAGGCGCCAGGAGGAGGCGGGCCGGCCGGUGACGUGCAUCGUCGGGAACCCGUUCCUCCCGUGGGCGAUCGACGUCGCCCACGAUGCCGGCAUCCCCACGGCGGUGCUGUGGGUGCAGUCGUGCGCCGUGUUCUCGCUCUACUACCACCACGUGCACGGGCUCGUGGAGUUCCCGCCCGAGGACGACCUCGACGCCCGGGUCAACCUCCCGGGCCUCCCGCCGCUGUCCGUCGCCGACGUGCCGUCGUUCCUGCUGCCGUCCAACCCCUACAAGCUCCUCACCGACGCGAUACUGAAGCAGUUCCGCACCAUCCACAAGGCGUCGUGGGUGUUCGUCAACUCCUUCUACGAGCUGGAGCCCGAGGUGGUGGACGCGCUCCCGGGCAUCUCGCCGCCGCCGCCGCCGCUCAUCCCCGUGGGCCCGCUCGUGGAGCUGGAGGAGGAGGGCGCCGUGCGGGGCGACAUGAUCAAGUCGGCGGACGACUGCGUGGGGUGGCUGGACGCGCAGGCGCCGCGCUCCGUCGUGUACGCGUCGCUCGGCAGCGUCGUGGUGCUGUCCGCCGAGGAGCUGGCCGAGAUGGCGCACGGGCUCGCGUCCACCGGCCGCCCCUUCCUGUGGGUGGUUCGGCCGGACUGCAGCGCGAUGCUUCCCGAGGGGUACCUGGACUCCGUCGCCGGGCGCGGCAUGGUGGUGCCGUGGAGCCCGCAGGACCUGGUGCUGGCGCACCCGUCCACGGCGUGCUUCCUCACGCACUGCGGCUGGAACUCCACGCUGGAGACGCUCGCGGCGGGGCUUCCCGUGGUGGCGUUCCCGCAGUGGGGCGACCAGUGCACGGACGCCAAGUACCUCGUGGAGGAGUUCAAGAUGGGGGUGCGCAUCGGCACGCCGCUGCGGAGGGACGCCGUGCGCGACGCCGUGGAGGACGUCGUGGCCGGGCCGGACGCCGGCGCGAUGCUCGAGAAGGCCAGGGCGUGGUGCGCGGCGGCGAGGACGGCCGUGGCGGCCGGCGGGUCGUCGGACCGCCACGUACAGGCGUUUGUUGACCAGGUUGUGGCGGGAACCAUUGGCGCACGAGCAGAUAAGGACCUUGUGGCUGCGGAGCAGCAAGGUUUCGAUUCAUCUUCUCUACGUGGAAACUAAGGAUUAUUUCGGCCAUCUUCAGUGAAGAAAUGUGCAGAGAUUUCUGAAGUUCAAAAGCGAGACACGCACAAGACUACUCAAUCGAAGCAACUUUGUCGCAGGCAGGCGCCUACGUUGGCACACAGAGUCGGAAGCAUCGAUCGGUAUGAGCAACUGAAGUCCAUCGUUGACGCGAUGUUGCGAGUCUUGGAGCUUAGCACUGGAGUCUGAAGAUGCCGCGAGAACCGAAGCUAAUAAUAAUUGUACGUACUAGUCUUCGUAGCAUGAUAUUUUGUUCUCUUUGAUCCUCUUGUUAUGUUUGUUGUCAGUCAUACAGAGAGCCAGGCAGGCUACAAUUCAGUGUGUUCAUUUAAGUGUCAAUAAAUUUAGUUAUUAAGAGCCUAAUUUUGGCGCCGUUAAAGCGCCAGCAACCCUCCGCUCCUGUGAAAUGCCUGCGCCAGCGAAGACGCCAUUGCCGCCAGCGAGCGUGUAAAUGUAGCACCGCUGUGUUUUGGAUUCGGGGACGACAUCUGAACUGCCACAAAUAUCACGCAGUAUAUACAGUUUAGGGAACGCGAGUAACAUCUGCUAGCUAGUGUAGUGCUGAUGUGUCUAUGAACUGGCCACAUGAGAGAAGCUUCAGCAAUUUUGACAGGACCUUUUGCUUGUCGGAUUUCAGGUAAGUUGUUGGUACCUUACCGCAGAUGGACAUUUAACAGCAAACAGCUCUUGUGCUGAAACUCUUCAGUUAGUUGGAAAGCUCAACAUUCAUAAAUCGUGUACUAUAAACUGUGGGAAAAAACAACAACUUUACAAGUCACUGUUUUGGUGCUCUUGUUUUGUGACUAUACCAAAGUGCUCUGGACACACUUUCUUUCGUGGAUUCCCUGUAAUAACAUUGGGGAACAUCACAAUCUUUCAAUCACAGUACAAGAGCAGAUAAAUUGUACAGCAAAAAGGUCACAGUAGCUUGGGACAGUCAGAGUCAGUACAUGGCAAGUUUACGGCAGUGCUAAGUAUAGGG